rnacentral:lncRNA from 1 species
GAAUUUUUGUAAAAGUUUGGUAGAAAGUGAAAAUGUGUUUUAUGAAUUAAUAUAUUGAUGAUUUUUAAUUGUAUGAUUGUUAGUAGCAAACAUAGCACCGGAUACGUCAUCAAAGAAGGGAAAAGAGAAAGUGAACGAAGAUAUCGAUUAAAUUCGAUAAAUAGUGGUUUGUAUUUCUAUAAACCGAGCUUAAUCGUUAUUGUUAUAUUUGAUAUUUAUAUUGUAUGAAAAUGUGAAUGAGGUAAGUAUUUUUACCAUAUUGAAAUGAAUGUGAUUUUGAAUACCCUAUUAACAGUGUCGGGCUAGUCGGAUAUAGUUGACAUGUCAUAGGAAUUGGAAGUAUUGGGAUAUUCCGACAUUGAUUCGAUGAGACACUAUGUGUCGACUACUGUUAAAGUUUCGGAUUUGUUUCGAUGAAGUACUUUGUGUCCUAUAAUGUUAAAGUUCCGGAUUUAUUCCGAUGAAGCAUUAUGUGCUUAUCCCAGAGUGUGGGUUAGAUCUGUGUAUCCAUCAGUGUCUGAGUUAUGUUAAUAAGGGUAAAUAAAGUAAAGGUUAUUAAAGUACUGAUUGAUAUUGAAUAAUAGCAAUAAUGUGUUUGAAUUACCAUGUUUUAAAGUUGAUUAAGCUAUUGUUUAUAGAAAUACCACUGAGAGUAUUCUCAGCGUACGGUUUGUUUCCGUGCGCAGGCUAGGUAUGAAAGUAUAAGGACUCAGCAUACAAGCCGAUCCCCAAACUCAAAUUGGUGAAGUUUCUAUCUUUUUGGAAAAUGGCAUUGUACCUUGG